GUCCUUGUGGCCUAAUGGAUAAGGCGUUGGCCUCCGGAGCCAAAGAUUGAGGGUUCGAGUCCCUUCAAGGACG
rnacentral:tRNA from 2 species